rnacentral:lncRNA from 12 species
GAUGGAGGAAGCCUGGCAUCUGCAUCACAACAUGGAAGGAGUGAUCUGCCCAUGGGGAACAAUGCUUUGAUGUCUGAUAACUGAUUGCAUCCACUGCUGGAGCUCCAUUCUCACUGAUGGGGUUAGAGGUUGGAAGAGCACUUAAAUAUGUCCCUUCAAGGCAAUGCUCAUUGGUUGUUCCCAAAGAAGUUCAACAGUCC